GACGAACGCUGGCGGCGUGCUUAACACAUGCAAGUCGAACGGAAAGGCCCUGCUUUUGUGGGGUGCUAGCGUGGCGAACGGGUGAGUAACACGUGAGUAACCUGCCCUUGACUUUGGGAUAACUGCAGGCAAGUGGGGCUAAUACCGGCUAGGAGCUCCUGCUGCAUGGUGGGGGUCGGAAAGUUUCGGCGGAUGGGGAUGGACUCUCGGCUUAUCAGCUUGUUGGUGGGGUAGUGGCUUACCAAGGCUUUGACGGGUAGCCGGCCUGAGAGGGUGACCGGCCACAUUGCGACUGAGAGACGGCCCAGACUGCUACGGGAGGCAGCAGUGGGGAAUAUUGCACAAUGGGCGGAAGCCUGAUGCAGCAACGCCGCGUGCGGGAUGACGUCCUUCGUGUUGUAAACCGCUUUCGCCUGUGACGAAGCGGGAGUGACGUUAAUGAGUAAAGAAGCACCGGCUAACUACGUG
rnacentral:rRNA from 1 species